rnacentral:rRNA from 1 species
AUUGAACGCUGGCGGCAUGCCUUACACAUGCAAGUCGAACGGUAACAGGUCUUCGGAUGCUGACGAGUGGCGAACGGGUGAGUAAUACAUCGGAACGUGCCCGAGAGUGGGGGAUAACGAGGCGAAAGCUUUGCUAAUACCGCAUACGAUCUCAGGAUGAAAGCAGGGGACCGCAAGGCCUUGCGCUCACGGAGCGGCCGAUGGCAGAUUAGGUAGUUGGUGGGAUAAAAGCUUACCAAGCCGACGAUCUGUAGCUGGUCUGAGAGGACGACCAGCCACACUGGGACUGAGGCACGGCCCAGACUCCGACGGGAGGCAGCAGUGGGGAAUUUUGGACAGUGGGCGCAAGCCUGAUCCAGCCAUGCCGAGUGCAGGAUGAAGGCCUUCGGGUUGUAAACUGCUUUUGUACGGAACGAAAAGACUCGGGUUAAUACCUGGGGUCCAUGACGGUACCGUAAGAAUAAGCACCGGCUAACUACGUGCCAGCAGCCGCCGUAACAC